rnacentral:misc_RNA from 1 species
UCCGGCUUAUCACCGGCGGUUUCUUUAGAGUGCCCAACUAAAUGAUGGCAACUAAUGACAAGGGUUGCGCUCGUUGCGGGACUUAACCCAACAUCUCACGACACGAGCUGACGACAGCCAUGCAGCACCUGUGUUACGGCUCCCUUUCGGGCACCCCCGCCUCUCGGCAGGGUUCCGUACAUGUCAAGGGUAGGUAAGGUUUUUCGCGUUGCAUCGAAUUAAUCCACAUCAUCCACCGCUUGUGCGGGUCCCCGUCAAUUCCUUUGAGCUUUAGCCUUGCGGCCGUACUCCCCAGGCGGAGUGCUUAAUGCGUUAGCUUCGGCACGGAACGGGUUGAAGACCGCCCCACACCUAGCACCCAACGUUUACGGCUGGGACUAC